GAGAUGACCGCGUUGGCGGAGAAGGUCUCGCUCUGUCAUCCAGACUGGAGUGCAGUGGCACAAUCACAGCUCACUGCACUCUUAACCGCCUGGGCUCAAGCAGUUCUCCUGGCUCAACUUCCAAGUAGCUGGGACUGCAGGCAUGUAACACCACACCUGUCGAGACGAAGUCUUGCCAUGUUGCCCAGGCUGGUUUCAAAC
rnacentral:lncRNA from 10 species